UUGAACGCUGGCGGCAUGCCUUACACAUGCAAGUCGAACGGUAGAGGGGCAACCCUUGAGAGUGGCGAACGGGUGAGUAAUAUAUCGGAACGUGCCCAGUCGUGGGGGAUAACGCAGCGAAAGCUGCGCUAAUACCGCAUACGAUCUAUGGAUGAAAGCGGGGGAUCGCAAGACCUCGCGCGAUUGGAGCGGCCGAUAUCAGAUUAGGUAGUUGGUGGGGUAAAAGCCCACCAAGCCGACGAUCUGUA
rnacentral:rRNA from 1 species